GGUUCCACUGUUUACAGAGAUAUUUAAUUUACAAAAUAAAUAAGGUCAUAAUAAUGUUUAGUCAACAUUAUUAAUCAUUAUCAGUUAUAGUGAUAAUAUUAAUAUUACUAUUUUCAGGUUUAUUUUAAUUAAAUAAUGCAGAUCCAUAACAAAUUAGCAUGUGAACUGGUGAAUUUACAAACUCUCACGCAGAUUAGGGUGAAUAAAAAAAUUAACUAAGCAGCCACUGCACCACUUACUGCUCUGUUUUCAGAGAUAGAGAAACACAAAGUAAACUGAGAAAACUACAGGUAAUAUAUCUAAAUUAUAACAACAUGACAGGCUUAAAUAAACUAGAUUCUAUUGCCUGAAGAGACUGUAUUUUCUGCAGUGCCUGUCAGAACAGUGAGCUCAGUGAAGGUGCUCAGUGGGUGUUCACCGAAAUGGAUUUACGUACCCACUGGAUAUCACGCAAAUCUGCUGUUGAAAGCAAAUCCAUGAUGAUGCUGGUAAUUCAGCAACCAAAUCUAAUGCAAGUAGAGUUUAUGUUGAACAGUGGUUCAUGUUUGCUGUUACCUGAAAGAAGUGAUGUACUCGGACCUGAGACAUUUUAAUGCCUUCUCUGCAGGAAGCGCCACUGACCUGGAAGUAAGAGAAAGAGAAAACAUAGAUGAGAUUCACUACGAGGCAGUGAGAACUGAGUCUGAGCCACACACGCAAUUAUUCACAAGGAGCAUGGCUUCACAUUUAGCCAACAUGGGAGAUUCCAGAUCAACUAAAUUGAUGCUGGAAAGAUGGUACAGGAAUCUGGGUUCUUGUUCACGGCGGUCGAAGAAUGAACUCCGCGAACACACAGGCAGCAUGCAAGCAAAGUUUUUAUUAAAGGAAAGCAGAUGGCUCCCAGGGUUGCUGGGAGCGGGGAGAAGAGCCCCCUUUCUCUAUUGUCCUAUAGGGGUUUUUUAUCCCUUAAAGAGGGACCAACGUGGGGUCCAGAGAGAUGUGCUCUUCUCCCAUUGGCCUUGCUUAGUUACCUAUGUCAGUCCUUGUCCAAUAGAGUCUUAAGGGUGGAAAUGUCCCGUAAGUCUCGUAGUUUCUUUGUCCUUUUCAUCCCUCAAACUGAGUCGCAGGGGAUUAGGGAUUAAUAUCCAUCUGGGCGUAGGUACACUCCCUAUAGUAAACAAGGCCUGUGGGGAUGUUAGUCCCUGGAGCCCUUAAGCCACAAAUGUUGAUCGAUGGCCAUACCAAAGAGUACAUCAAAGCCCAUGCUCCUGCACUGACUACCUGAGUUAAUAUUCUGCCUCAAAAUAAUUGAUACCGAAUUUAAAACCAUGAUACACAAAUUAAUGGCUUUCUAUAUGCCCAAACUUGGGCAAAGUAUGGAGAAAAUCAAAAUGAUUUCAAAUGGUUCUUUACCUGAAAUAAGAGGAAGAGUCUGACGGUAGCAGAAUAAUGUGGGAGAAAAUGGGUAAGAUUAAUAUAACACAAUGGGUGUAGGUUGAAACUAGGAAACAGAGGAUGCAAAGCAAGGGCUCUCGACCACUAUUCUGCCCUCUCUAGUAACUUAGGUAUUAGGCGAUGCCAUUUCCCAUCUCUAUCCAGAAUGACGGGUCUCUUAACUGCAGUGGUCUCUUGGCCUUGAAUCCUUUCUGUAGCUCUCCCUCUCCUUUUCAGCAGUAUCUCGAGAUAGCUGACACCAAGAGCAAUGGGCAGAAAACAUGUUUGUUCCUGGCAAUACCUGACUGCCUUCUCUGUUGGCCCAAAUGGUUUCCAGUGUAAUCUAUUCUGCAUUGAAGUCAGAAAAUGUUGAACUUGGGUUUCUUCUGAAUCCCUCAUUGAACUUAAAUGUGCCUAAAUGCUCCCAGAAAUCAGUGCUUAAGGCCUACA
rnacentral:lncRNA from 1 species